rnacentral:rRNA from 1 species
GAAAGUAAGCAAGGGCAGACGGUGGAUGCCUUGGCUCUCGGAGGCGACGAAGGACGUGAUAAGCUGCGAAAAGCUCGGGGGAGGCGCAAAUAGCCGUUGAUCCCGGGAUAUCCGAAUGGGGCAACCCGGCAGGCUGAAGGCCUGUCAUCCCGAAAGGGAGGCGAACGUGGGGAACUGAAACAUCUAAGUACCCAUAGGAGGAGAAAAUAAACAAUGAUUCCGUAAGUAGUGGCGAGCGAACACGGAAGAGCCCAAACCCGUGUCGUCUAGGCGAUACGGGGGUUGUAGGACCACGACGUGGCAAGAUAGAGUCAAGUGGAACGCCUUGGAAAGGGCGACCGUAGAGGGUGAUAGUCCCGUACACGACUGACGAUUGAAGCCUAGUGGUAUCCUGAGUAGCGCGGGGCACGAGAAAUCUUGCGUGAAACAGCGGGGCCCAUCCCGUAAGGCUAAAUACUCCCGAGAGACCGAUAGCGAACCAGUACCGUGAGGGAAAGGUGAAAAGAACCCCGAGCAGGGGAGUGAAAUAGACCCUGAACCCGUCUGCCUACAAGCGGUCGGAGCGUCGUAAUGACGUGACGGCGUGCCUUUUGCAUAAUGAACCUACGAGUUACCUUCCCCGGCAAGGUUAAGUUCUUGAGGAACGGAGCCGAAGCGAAAGCGAGUCUGAACAGGGCGCCAAGUCGGGGGGGGUAGACGCGAAACCGAGUGAUCUACCCUUGGCCAGGUUGAAGGUUGGGUAACACCAACUGGAGGACCGGAUGGGUAAGCGUUGAAAAGCUUUCCAAUGAGCUGAGGGUAGGGGUGAAAGGCUAAUCAAACUCGGAGAUAGCUCGUACUCCCCGAAAUGCAUUUAGGUGCAGCCUCUUUAUAGUAUAUCGUGAGGUAGAGCGACUGAUUGGAUGCGAGGGCUUCACCGCCUAUCAAGUCCAGAUAAACUCCGAAUGCGCGAUAUAUAUUUACAGGGAGUGAGGGCGCGGGUGCUAAGGUCCGUGUCCGAGAGGAGAAGAAUCCAGACCACCGGCUAAGGCCCCCAAAUGAUCGUUAAGUUGAACUAACGAGGUCGGAUCGCAGAGACAGCUAGGAUGUUGGCUUGGAAGCAGCCAUUCAUUUAAAGAGUGCGUAACAGCUCACUAGUCGAGCGAUCUGGCGUGGAUAAUAAUCGGGCAUAAACGAUCUGCCGAAGCCGUGGAUGUCGCAAGACAUGGUAGGGGAGCAUUCCAUGCCGCGUCGAAGAUGAGGGAUGACCCUUGUUGGAGCGCAUGGAAAAGCAAAUGUAGGUAUGAGUAACGAUAAGGGGGGCGAGAAACCCCCCCGCCGAAAGACCAAGGUUUCCUGAUCAACGCUAAUCGGAUCAGGGUGAGUCGGGACCUAAGGCAAAGCCGAACGGCGCCGCCGAUGGAAGAAUGGGUUAAUAUUCCCAUACUGCCUCAUGGAGUGACGUGGAGACGGAGAAGUGACAGUCCUGCCGGCUGACGGAAUAGCCGGUUGAAGGGUGUAGAUAUUGAUUCCCGUAGGCAAAUCCGCGGGGAGAGUCGAACCUGAGAGUAUACGGAGCGCUUGCGCAACGUAAUAUGGACGUAACCAUGCUCCCGAGAAAAUCCGCUAAACUUAUCCAUGCGGCACCCGUACCGUAAACGGACACACGUGGUCGGGUUGAGAAUACUGAGGCGCUCGAGUGAUUCACGGUUAAGGAACUAGGCAAAUUGACCCUGUAACUUCGGGAUAAAGGGUCCUCGUCGUAAGGCGAGGCGCAGAGAAUAGGUCCAGGCAACUGUUUAACAAAAACACAUGGCUGUGCUAAAUGGAAACAUGAGGUAUACAGCCUGACACCUGCCCGGUGCCGGAAGGUUAAGAGGAGAUGUCAUCCGCGAGGAGAAGCGUUGAAUUGAAGCCCCGGUAAACGGCGGCCGUAACUAUAACGGUCCUAAGGUAGCGAAAUUCCUUGUCGGGU